rnacentral:rRNA from 1 species
UACGAAGGGGGCUAGCGUUGUUCGGAAUUACUGGGCGUAAAGCGUGCGCAGGCGGCUUCUCAAGUCAGGGGUGAAAGCCCAGAGCUCAACUCUGGAACUGCCUUUGAGACUGAGAGGCUUGAGUACGGGAGAGGUGAGUGGAAUUCCCAGUGUAGAGGUGAAAUUCGUAGAUAUUGGGAAGAACACCCGUGGCGAAGGCGGCUCUCUGGGACGGUACUGACGCUGAGACGCGAAAGCGUGGGGAGCGAACAGG